AGUGAACGCUGGCGGUAGGCCUAACACAUGCAAGUCGAACGGCAGCACAGUAAGAGCUUGCUCUUACGGGUGGCGAGUGGCGGACGGGUGAGGAAUACAUCGGAAUCUACUUUUUCGUGGGGGAUAACGUAGGGAAACUUACGCUAAUACCACAUACGACCUACGGGUGAAAGCAGGGGAUCUUCGGACCUUGCGCGAUUGAAUGAGCCGAUGUCGGAUUAGCUAGUUGGCGGGGUAAAGGCCCACCAAGGCGACGAUCCGUAGCUGGUCUGAGAGGAUGAUCAGCCACACUGGAACUGAGACACGGUCCAGACUCCUACGGGAGGCAGCAGUGGGGAAUAUUGGACAAUGGGCGCAAGCCUGAUCCAGCCAUACCGCGUGGGUGAAGAAGGCCUUCGGGUUGUAAAGCCCUUUUGUUGGGAAAGAAAAGCAGCAGGUUAAUACCCCGCUGUUCUGACGGUACCCAAAGAAUAAGCACAGGCUAACUUCGUG
rnacentral:rRNA from 1 species